rnacentral:rRNA from 1 species
GAUGAACGCUAGCUACAGGCUUAACACAUGCAAGUCGAGGGACCGGCGCACGGGUGAGCAACACGUAUCCAACCUGCCCUUUACUCGGGGAUAGCCUUUCGAAAGAAAGAUUAAUACCCGAUAUAAAGGAUGGGGAUGCGUUCCAUUAGGUUGUUGGUGAGGUAACGGCUCACCAAGCCUUCGAUGGAUAGGGGUUUUGAGAGGAAGGGCCACAACAUUGGAACUGCGCACCGGCCCAAACUCCGAGGGGAGGCGGGAGUGAGGAAUAUUGUUCAAGGGGCGGUAGCCUGAACCAGCCAAUUAGCGUGAAGGAUGAUGGCUUUUGGGUCGUAAUUUUCUUUUAAAUAAGAAUAUGUAUUAUAUGAAUAAGGAUCGGCUAACUCCGUGCCAGCCGCCGCGGUAAUAC